ACCAAUCGGCGCCCGCCGGCCAAGGGGCCUCGCCCAUCAAAAGAAAGCUGUGGACAUAGACGACGAAUCCCCCCGCAGGCAGGGUUCCGGGACUGUUUCCUCUUCUCUUUCCGUUUCCGGAGGCGGGACAAGUGGGCUGGAUCUGAGGGAAUUUGUGCCAGCGAAGCUCGCUGAGCGGUAGCGCGCUCUCUUAGGUAUUUUAGUGUUCGUUGUUUGUCUAGCUACCUCCCUUUAAGGAAAAAAGAGACUGGAUUCUGUUGGCAGCACUUACAGUAAUAAUAAACAAGAAAAUGGAAGAGGCACUCACUUAGCCAUGAUGACAUCUCCAUGGCAACCAGAGGCCAAGCCCGGAGACCGCGCUGGUAUGCAAAUGAGCUAACCCUAAGGUGGCUUUCAGCAGCUACAGUAACAGAGGAGAAAAUGGUAUAAAGACCCCAGCGAAAGCUCAGGACUCUGUCACUCAGCUCGGAGAGACAGACUGCACGUCCCCGGAGGAGAUGGGAGCCCUUGGCGGCGGUCAGACACGGAGCGGAGCCGGCGGCGGAGGGCUGACCCCGGGUGUCGUCGCCGGAAUCCCUCGUGCCUGGUUAUGGGAACACCAUCUGGACAACAAGAAGAGAAGGCGAUUUGCAGAUGACUGAAGUGACUGGGAGAUACUUGCCAUGAUUAUUAUUGGAAAACUUCUUUGUGUUGUGUGGAUCCUUUGCUUUUUAGUUAAUUGACGGAAAAGAACCCACUAUCCCUGUUAGAACAUUAGAGGACUACUGUCUUAGAUCUCUUGUAAGGCCAUUUACAAAAUUUUGCUUGUUUCAACUAUUUGCCUAUUUGACUUGGAAAUUGUACCAACAGUUUUUUAUCCAAUAUACACUGUUGAAACAUCCUUGUAAUGUGAUGCAUUGAGUUGUUUUGAAUUGUUGUUAUGCUGUGAGUGUUUGCUGUGUAUUUGACAUUUGCUAUGAAUUGAUGUGUAGUGAAUUAUGCUUUGACUUUUUGAGAGUUGUGAUGACCCUUUACCCUCUGAUAACCCUCCUCCUAGUGCUCAUAGGAGCACUAGUAAGUCAACAAGAAAAUGAAGGCACUCACCUAGCAAUGAGGACAUCACCAUGGCAACCUGAGGCCACUUUUAGAGACCAGCUAUGUGCUGAUAUGUUAAUGAGCUAACCCUAAGGUGGCUGUCAGCAGCUAGAGUGACUGAGGUGAAAAUAGGUAUAAAAACCCAGCAAAAGCUCAGAACACUGUCACUCAACUCAGAGAGACAGACUCCAUGUCCCUCUUUGUAUUGAUACCCACCGUGAGGAGGAGGAGCAGCCUGAGGGAGCCUCCCCCCCAUACCAGGGUCAGAGCAGAGCACAUGGGGAGGGCUAACCCAGAUACUGACCAGGGACCAAGUGUCCUCACAGGUGGGCUGCCUGGGGCUAGGCUAUAUUUGAGAGGAUGGUAUAAGUGAGAAGUCCUAACUCAAAAUAAUGUAUGUGUGAAGUGAAUAAAAGUGUGGCAGAUGAAUUGAUGAUUCUACCUCUCAACUACUUAA